rnacentral:rRNA from 1 species
UACGUAGGGUGCAAGCGUUGUCCGGAAUUAUUGGGCGUAAAGAGCUCGUAGGCGGUCUGUCGCGUCUGCUGUGAAAACCUAGGGCUUAACUCUGGGCGUGCAGUGGGUACGGGCAGGCUAGAGUGCGGUAGGGGAGACUGGAAUUCCUGGUGUAGCGGUGAAAUGCGCAGAUAUCGGGAGGAACACCGGUGGCGAAGGCGGUUCUCUGGGCCUGUACUGACGCUGAGGAGCGAAAGCGUGGGGAGCGAACAGG